CCAUACUAGCCGGGGAAUUAGCGGAGCCCUGUACCUGAAAUCCGCUACAGCAGGGGGGAAUCCCUUUCUUGAGGAUCAACUCAAAACGGCCUGAGCCGUGCCUGCUGCGUUGACGAACGGGUCUUGCGCAAUCGGGAAUUGUGAACCAUGUCAGGUGGGGAACCAAGCAGCAUUAAGCAGUCUCCCCGAUGUGCCGUGAGGUAGCCUGUUCUGAGCAGGAGGUACGGAGAUCGCGUGGCGACGAGGUUCGAUUGAAAGGUGUAUGG
rnacentral:SRP_RNA from 1 species